rnacentral:rRNA from 1 species
AUUGAACGCUGGCGGCAGGCCUAACACAUGCAAGUCGAACGGUAACAGGAAGAAGCUUGCUUCUUUGCUGACGAGUGGCGGACGGGUGAGUAAUGUCUGGGAAACUGCCUGAUGGAGGGGGAUAACUACUGGAAACGGUAGCUAAUACCGCAUAAUGUCGCAAGACCAAAGAGGGGGACCUUCGGGCCUCUUGCCAUCGGAUGUGCCCAGAUGGGAUUAGCUAGUAGGUGGGGUAACGGCUCACCUAGGCGACGAUCCCUAGCUGGUCUGAGAGGAUGACCAGCCACACUGGAACUGAGACACGGUCCAGACUCCUACGGGAGGCAGCAGUGGGGAAUAUUGCACAAUGGGCGCAAGCCUGAUGCAGCUAUGCCGCGUGUAUGAAGAAGGCCUUCGGGUUGUAAAGUACUUUCAGCGGGGAGGAAGGGAGUAAAGUUAAUACCUUUGCUCAUUGACGUUACCCGCAGAAGAAGCACCGGCUAACUCCGUA